UACGUGGGGUGCAAGCGUUGUCCGGAAUUAUUGGGCGUAAAGAGCUCGUAGGCGGUCUGUCGCGUCGGCUGUGAAAUCCCGAGGCUCAACCUCGGGUCUGCAGUCGAUACGGGCAAACUAGAGUAUUGCAGGGGAGACUGGAAUUCCUGGUGUAGCGGUGAAAUGCGUAGAUAUCUGGAGGAAUACCGGUGGCGAAGGCGGCAUCCUGGACCGACAUUGACGCUGAACGGCGAAAGCUAGGGGAGCAAACGGG
rnacentral:rRNA from 1 species